rnacentral:lncRNA from 1 species
CAGUUGGAAAUGCAGAAAUCACCCGUCUUCUGCGUCAAUCACGCUGAGAACUGCAGACCAGAGCUGUUCCUAUUUGGCCAUCUUGGAACCGGUCUGAGUCUGUUUUAGCCAGAUCAAGUACUUGGUGAGAGAACCUUUGUGGGAGCGCAGAAGUCCAGCAGAGAGACCCUAGCACUUUAUUUGGACCAAAAAAUAAAUAAUAAAUAAAUAAAUAAAUAAAUCCAAAACUAGAUGCAUUAAAGAAGGUAAGAACAGUUUUACUUUACCUGUGUCACCCCUCCCCCAGUGUGGCACAGAUCAGUGCCAAGAGAGACCGCUUCAGCCCAGUUUCUUCCACAGGGGAAAAUGAGAACAGUGAGUGCCUAAUUUCCUCAGCUGUAGGAUGCUGUAGAAGAGACCCACUUCUGCCUCACCCAUUUGAGAACCCUGAGGGAAUCAGUAUGGCUGAAUAAUCUGGGGGUAGCUAGGAGCAGGGAAAAGGGGCAGCACUCACAGCAACCUGAGUAUGGAAUUCAGCAAAGAGCCACAGUUUCUAUUAACUACCUCCCAAAUUCCAUCAAGAGGGCCAGCCACAAACUACAUAGGAUGCAUAAUCUGCAGAUCCCCUGACUAGCCCAUGUGUGCUUCCAACCUUCUGCAUGCCCUUCCCCCAUGUAGCUGGCACCCUGAAUGCACCCCCAUGGAUAGCAUGUACAAGCUUCUGCAGAUUGUGCAUGAGAACAUGAAGAUAACUAACUUGAUUCAGGAUUGGAAGGAAGUGACUAAUCUUGAAUUUUUCAAGGCACUUCCUAGGGAAGAUAAACAGGAGGCUUACAUUGCACCUGGCCUGACUUUUGCAAGAUCAAGAGAAGGAAUAUGCUGUAAUUUGAAUGAAAAUUUAACAUUUAAAAUUUAUGUUGAAGCUGAAUACUCAAUGCAAUAGUACUAAGAAGUCUAACCUUUGGGAGGUGAUUAAGUCAUGAUGACUCUUCUCACUUGAAUGGGAUGAGCACUCAUAAAAGAUGUCAAGGUUUAUGGGAGUUCUCUUUUGCCCUUCCAUCCCUUCUGCCAGGUUAGACUUCUCCUAUGGAGAAUGCAGCAAGAAAAUACCAUCUUGAAGCAGAGAGCAGCGCUCAUCAGGCAUCAGUCCUUCUGGAGCCUUGAUCUUGGACCUCCCAGCUCCAAAAUAAUAAGUAAUAAAUUGUUAUUGCUUAUAAAUUA